UACGUAGGUGACAAGCGUUGUCCGGAUUUACUGGGCGUAAAGCGCGUGUAGGCGGUUCGGUAAGUUGGAUGUGAAAUCUCCUGGCUCAACUAGGAGAGGUCGUUCAAUACUGCCAGACUAGAGGACGGUAGAGGAAGGUAGAAUUCCCGGUGUAGUGGUGAAAUGCGUAGAUAUCGGGAGGAAUACCAGUGGCGAAGGCGGCCUUCUGGGCCGUUCCUGACGCUCAGACGCGAAAGCGUGGGUAGCGAACGGG
rnacentral:rRNA from 1 species